CUUAAAUUUGUGUUUCAGGUAGCAAAGGUGUUUGGAACAAAGGCUUAGAGGCCUGUAUUUGCCAUGGGUUACAGGAUGAGGAACAGCAAUUUGAAAAUGUAAGAGUUCUACUAUUCUUCCAGUUAGAGGAGAUAAGAGAGGAGGUAUUCUAAUUCAAACCUAUGUACUCAUCUGAAAUGUUUUAACAGCUUUCAUACUGCUGUUCAGUCGAAAAAUGUUUGCUAAAAAUUGCAACAUUAAAAGCAGGCCUUAUUCAGUACAUACCAAUACUAAGCCUGUCCUCACUAGGCCUUGGAUUUAUGCAUUUAGGACAAGAUGUUUCUGGGUCAGUUUGUCACACUCUCCCUCCCAACACAACACCUUGGCAAUUUGCCUUGAGUUCCCCUCAAGUCCCUGCAAUUGGGCACAGAUGUUGAAAUUCUCCCCAUAUGACAGAUUAAGACAAAGGAGCAAUACACCAGUUUCCCUUGAAAGAAACAGCACUCCUAACUGCGCUAGGGGGUGGGAUUCAAAUUAAGCAGUUAAGAGAGAAUAUUCUCAUCAAGCUGGCAGCUUGUUUGCUUUCACUAAUUUAUGUACACAUGGGAAUAAUACUGGAAAGGAAGAAAUGAACUUCUCUUGGGCUACCUCUUUCCCACAAGCUCAUGAGAACUACAUAUACCAACUUUCCAUUCUUGAAAGUAAGAUGCCUACCAGGCACAAUGCUAACACACUGGCUCAGCAGAGAGGAAUUAAUAGUAAGCCCUCUCUCCUGAAGGAAGAACUGCACAAAAUGUAACACCUCAAGAACCUCAACUUUUAAGAAAACACUGAAUGCUGCAUUUUUCUCUUUGUUAUGCAGAGAACCAUCAAGUAUGUGAAAAUGGUAUCUGGUAUUGCUAGUAAGCAAAAUACUUUUAUUGUGAUGUCUAACACAAAGCCCUCUUCCAGAGAGCAUAAAUCAAUGUUAAAUAGGCAAUACAGAGAUUUGGGGAGAAUGAAAUACAUGAGAUAGAGAAUGAAGCUGAUGAGUAACAAUUUAGGUGAACUAUGGCAGAACCCUACUUGUUUACAUGACCUAAUGAUUUUACUUGACCUAAUGAUUAACUACGCUACUAGUUCCUUAUACCAAAAAUGGCAGCACUGAAGAGAGUUACAAGGAAGGCUAAGAUGCAUUUGUGAAAUCAGGAACCUACUGUGCGAUGGACUCUUAUUAAAGAAGAUAUUUCAAAAGGAGGGUCAGAAUUCAGGGGAAUGCAUGUGUGUGAUCACACUAACACUAAGCACCAAAUUUUGUUCCUAGAAGAGAUCACAGAGAAAGGUUCAACAUGACAUUAUGUUUCCUUUCCUUUCACCAUGUUAUAUCUAUACCAGAGAAACCUCUCCAAGUAAACAGACUUGAGAUUCAUAUGGUUUAAUGAAAGUGAUCCUGAAUUAUUGAUCUUCAGCAAUUUUUCAAUCACCCAGAAUAACUAUUCGAGUUGUGGCUACUCAAGCAGGGAAAAUAAAUCUUUCCCCUUACCAAUUUCUCUCUCCCCAUUGCCCAAAGUUCAUUCAUAGGUAGCAUUCCGUACACACUAUAGUCGGAAAGCUUUGAGUUCAGCAACAGCACUCUGCUUCACAUGUAGAAGAUUCCAUGUUUUAUCCUUAGUAUGCCUAGCAGGGCUAGAAAAGGUCUCAACAGGGUAGGAUGGCACUGAGCUGGAUGGAAAAUUAGCCUGAGCCAGUAAAAAGUAGGGAUGGGGAAGCUACAGCCAGCAGGUUUCCCAUCCGGCCUGCAGCUUCUUUCCCAAACAUCAUCACUUCCUAGAAGGAAAAAGCUCUUUUUUUUCAAUCAGCAGCUAACUGGAGGUAAUUUUUUCCCUGCUGAGCAGUAAGGAGUCUGAUCAGCUGCUGACUGGAGAGAAAAGCUUUUCCUUGCAAGAAAGAUGGGACAUAGUCUGGCAAGGAAACAAUGGAGAGAUUCUGAUUAUAUUGGAAACUUGUGCUACUUAUAUCUGCUUGUCCUAUUUUCUCAUGAGCAUACAUUCUACUCAUGCUUACUUCUAAGUAGACAUGCAGAAGCCCUUUUUCUGCUUACAUUUGAGUAGGUCUAAAAUCAGUAAUCACAUUUUGACCCACCCAUUUGCUUUCAACCACUGCCACAAAUGGAACACAGUCCCCAAUACCUUUCCCAGUUUUGAAUUUGGUCUUUGUGCUGAAAAAUCUUUCCCUACUUCUACUACAAAGGAAAGCCAUUAACUCCUCCAGACACAUGCAGGUUAUCUGAUAAACAGAGUAGAACUAGAGUUUGUUUCUUCUACAAUUACCAACUAGCCUUUAAAAUGUCACUUGACUUCUGGUUGUUUCUGCUAGCCAGUUGUCAGAAUUUAUCUUGAUUGCAAAAGUUAACUCUGAUACAAAAAGUGUUUGGCUUACUAAGAUGUAGGUUUUUUAUUUUAAGAGUUUCUAGCCUUUCAUAGAGAAAAAUAUGGAAAUAUACAGGCAAAUGCUUAUAAAUUAACUGAUUUUCUAAACAUGACUACAUGGGGCUCACUUCUCAAUAAACAUGCAUGGAAUUCAUAACAUAUAGAUGUGCAAUGGAUUUUAACACUUCAUAUGAAGAGUUUUAUCUUCAUUUGUCCGGAUCUGCAAUAUCCUUAUGCAGAUGUGUAAUACCCUACCCAUUUAUAGAAGAGUGUGUGAUGCAUUCAGUUUGUCCUAAGCCAUGAUGGGGGGGGGGACCUCUUGUGCUGGAGGAUGUCAGGAAAAUAUUAAUUUGA